UCAGUCUGACCCAUACUCCGGAACAGUAGGAGGCGGUAAUGCUCCUUUACGUUGGUUGCCAACCGCCGUUAAACACAAGGAAGAAGAAGAAGGACACAUCUAAGACCUGCAGGACACCGGCCCUCGAGGCCUGGAGACAUUGCUAUGGCAGGAACGCCUCUUCGUUCCAGAGAAUGAAGUGUGUCUGCAAAUUCAGUGAAUGUGGAGGUGGUGAGGUUGAGACUAUCUGACCUGCUUUAGCUGCCUGACGUCCGGCUCCUCGACUUCAUGCUGACUUAUUUAGUGUCUGAUGCCUUCUCUGUUCUGUGUGGAGUCUUUGCAGCCACAUGUGGAAACAUCACGGUGUAUAUGGACAUUUUCUUUGAUUAAAAUAGUCCCGAUAAACCUGACUGAGCCUCAUGCGACAUGCAGUCAAACCUCAGUGGCCCUCGCAUUAACUAACACAACCCCAAAUCUGGCUGGUUUCCAUUUUCAGGACCACAACCGCUUUUAUUCAGCACAGCAUGGAAGCGUUGAAGAACUGAUGUUACAGCAGGGAGCCAUAUCUUCUCCUUUCAGCACUUAGGACGAGGGGAGAGACGAUCAUUAUGUGAUCAAAAUGGACUGUCAGUGGGAAGCAGCUCUAAGCUGGGAUUAGUCUGAUAGGACAAGAUGUGCCGCCGUACAAGAGCUCCCCUAAGAAAAACACUCUGUGUUAAAUUACAUUUUAAGAGUGAAAUAAAGCAUGCAUAUCAAAAGGCAUUUUAUUAUGUUAUGAGCAAUUUCUCAAAUGGAUCUUUAUUACUCUUUGACUCUGCUGACGGAGGUUGAACCCAGAUUCAGAGGAAUCGCACUCACUGUUAUUUCACACCAUAUUUAAACGCACAGUGUGAAC